rnacentral:rRNA from 1 species
GAAAUGGGAAAAUUCUGACGGUACCUAAGGAAUAAGCACCGGCUAACUCCGUGCCGCGCGGGUAUCCGGAGGGUGCAAGCGUUACUCGGAAUCACUGGGCGUAAAGGGCGCGCUAGGCGGAUUAUCAAGUCUCUUGUGAAAUCUAAUGGCUUAACCAUUAAACUGCUUGGGAAACUGAUAGUCUAGAGUGAGGGAGAGGCAGAUGGAAUUGGUGGUGUAGGGGUAAAAUCCGUAGAUAUCACCAAGAAUACCCAUUGCGAAGGCGAUCUGCUGGAACUCAACUGACGCUAAGGCGCGAAAGCGUGGGGAGCAAACAGGAUUAGAUACCCUGGUAGUCCACGCCCUAAACGAUGUACACUAGUUGUUGGGGUGCUAGUCAUCUCAGUAAUGCAGCUAACGCAUUAAGUGUACCGCCUGGGGAGUACGGUCGCAAGAUUAAAACUCAAAGGAAUAGACGGGGACCCGCACAAGCGGUGGAGCAUGUGGUUUAAUUCGAAGAUACGCGAAGAACCUUACCUGGGCUUGAUAUCCUAAGAACCUUUUAGAGAUAAGAGGGUGCUAGCUUGCUAGAACUUAGAGACAGGUGCUGCACGGCUGUCGUCAGCUCGUGUCGUGAGAUGUUGGGUUAAGUCCCGCAACGAGCGCAACCCACGUAUUUAGUUGCUAACGGUUCGGCCGAGCACUCUAAAUAGACUGCCUUCGUAAGGAGGAGGAAGGUGUGGACGACGUCAAGUCAUCAUGGCCCUUAUGCCCAGGGGCGACACACGUGCCUACAAGAA